UUCCAGACUCCUACGGGAGGCAGCAGUGGGGAAUAUUGCACAAUGGGGGAAACCCUGAUGCAGCGACGCCGCGUGAGUGAAGAAGUAUUUCGGUAUGUAAAGCUCUAUCAGCAGGGAAGAAAAUGACGGUACCUGAUUAAGAAGCCCCGGCUAACUACGUGCCAGCAGCCGCGGUAAUACGUAGGGGGCAAGCGUUAUCCGGAUUUACUGGGUGUAAAGGGAGCGUAGACGGUGAUGCAAGUCAGAAGUGAAAGCCCGGGGCUCAACUCCGGGACUGCUUUUGAAACUGUGUAACUGGAGUGCAGGAGAGGUAAGCGGAAUUCCUGGUGUAGCGGUGAAAUGCGUAGAUAUUAGGAGGAACACCAGUGGCGAAGGCGGCUUACUGGACUGUAACUGACGUUGAGGCUCGAAGGCGUGGGGAGCAAACAGGAUUAGAUACCCUCGUACC
rnacentral:rRNA from 1 species